GAUGAACGCUGGCGGCGUGCCUAAUACAUGCAAGUCGAGCGAAUGGAUUGAGAGCUUGCUCUUAUGAAGUUAGCGGCGGACGGGUGAGUAACACGUGGGUAACCUGCCCAUAAGACUGGGAUAACUCCGGGAAACCGGGGCUAAUACCGGAUAACAUUUUGAACCGCAUGGUUCGAAAUUGAAAGGCGGCUUCGGCUGUCACUUAUGGAUGGACCCGCGUCGCAUUAGCUAGUUGGUGAGGUAACGGCUCACCAAGGCAACGAUGCGUAGCCGACCUGAGAGGGUGAUCGGCCACACUGGGACCGAGACACGGCCCAGACUCCUACGGGAGGCAGCAGUAGGGAAUCUUCCGCAAUGGACGAAAGUCUGACGGAGCAGCGCCGCGUGAGUGAUGAAGGCUUUCGGGUCGUAAAACUCUGUUGUUAGGGAAGAACAAGUGCUAGUUGAAUAAGCUGGCACCUUGACGGUACCUAACCAGAAAGCCACGGCUAACUACGUGCCAGCAGCCGCAGUAA
rnacentral:rRNA from 1 species